rnacentral:rRNA from 1 species
UAAGGAAUAUUGCUCAAUGGGAGAAAUCCUGAAGCAGCAACGCCGCGUGGAGGAUGAAGGGUCUAUGACUUGUAAACUCCUGUAAAGAAGGAAAAAAUUCCCAUUAGAUGGGAGAUGAUGGUACUUCUGGAGUAAGCCCCGGCUAACUACGUGCCAGCAGCCGCGGUAAUACGUAGGGGGCAAGCGUUGUCCGGAUUUACUGGGUGUAAAGGGCGCGCAGGCGGGAUAAAAAGUCAUUGGUGAAAUCCUACAGCUUAACUGUAGAACUGCCUUUGAUACUUUUAUUCUUGAGUUCGGGAGAGAGAGACGGAAUUCCAGGUGUACUGUUGAAAUACGUAGAUACCUGGAAGAACACCAGUUGCGAAGGCGGUCUCUUGGUCCGACACUGACGCUGAGGCGCGAAAGCGUGGGGAGCAAACA